UGAAACAUGCAGCUUCUGUCUCUAGCCC
rnacentral:piRNA from 1 species